CCCCGUUUCGCCCCGCCCCGCCCCGGCAGACCUACCCCGGUUUCUCCUCUUCCAUUGACUCCUUUCCGAACCCUAAUACAUCCACUCUCGGACGGCCGCCGCCAGCCCGCCGCCGUCGUCGCCGACGCCUCCGCUCCAGCGUGUCCUCCUCCAACGCCGAGAGCAGAUCCAGGCAGCGUCCCCUUCCCCAUCGGCGACACCUGGAGUCGCAGGCAGGAGAGGAGGAGACGCUGAAGCGGAGCGCAAGUAGUCUCUGGGUGAAGGCAGGAACUGGCCGCCGCCAACGCCAUCCCGAGUGAGGUUGGUCUCUAGAAAGGUUCUAAAUCUUUUCAAGAAGCCCGAGCAGCGAGAUUCACGAAGCUAGGGGGGGGGGGGGACUGAAU